rnacentral:rRNA from 8 species
AAAUUGAAGAGUUUGAUCAUGGCUCAGAUUGAACGCUGGCGGCAGGCCUAACACAUGCAAGUCGAACGGUAACAGGAAGCAGCUUGCUGCUUCGCUGACGAGUGGCGGACGGGUGAGUAAUGUCUGGGAAACUGCCUGAUGGAGGGGGAUAACUACUGGAAACGGUGGCUAAUACCGCAUAACGUCGCAAGACCAAAGAGGGGGACCUUCGGGCCUCUUGCCAUCAGAUGUGCCCAGAUGGGAUUAGCUAGUUGGUGAGGUAACGGCUCACCAAGGCGACGAUCCCUAGCUGGUCUGAGAGGAUGACCAGCCACACUGGAACUGAGACACGGUCCAGACUCCUACGGGAGGCAGCAGUGGGGAAUAUUGCACAAUGGGCGCAAGCCUGAUGCAGCCAUGCCGCGUGUAUGAAGAAGGCCUUCGGGUUGUAAAGUACUUUCAGCGGGGAGGAAGGUGUUGUGGUUAAUAACCGCAGCAAUUGACGUUACCCGCAGAAGAAGCACCGGCUAACUCCGUGCCAGCAGCCGCGGUAAUACGGAGGGUGCAAGCGUUAAUCGGAAUUACUGGGCGUAAAGCGCACGCAGGCGGUCUGUCAAGUCGGAUGUGAAAUCCCCGGGCUCAACCUGGGAACUGCAUUCGAAACUGGCAGGCUUGAGUCUUGUAGAGGGGGGUAGAAUUCCAGGUGUAGCGGUGAAAUGCGUAGAGAUCUGGAGGAAUACCGGUGGCGAAGGCGGCCCCCUGGACAAAGACUGACGCUCAGGUGCGAAAGCGUGGGGAGCAAACAGGAUUAGAUACCCUGGUAGUCCACGCCGUAAACGAUGUCUACUUGGAGGUUGUGCCCUUGAGGCGUGGCUUCCGGAGCUAACGCGUUAAGUAGACCGCCUGGGGAGUACGGCCGCAAGGUUAAAACUCAAAUGAAUUGACGGGGGCCCGCACAAGCGGUGGAGCAUGUGGUUUAAUUCGAUGCAACGCGAAGAACCUUACCUGGUCUUGACAUCCACAGAAGAAUCCAGAGAUGGAUUUGUGCCUUCGGGAACUGUGAGACAGGUGCUGCAUGGCUGUCGUCAGCUCGUGUUGUGAAAUGUUGGGUUAAGUCCCGCAACGAGCGCAACCCUUAUCCUUUGUUGCCAGCGGUUAGGCCGGGAACUCAAAGGAGACUGCCAGUGAUAAACUGGAGGAAGGUGGGGAUGACGUCAAGUCAUCAUGGCCCUUACGACCAGGGCUACACACGUGCUACAAUGGCGCAUACAAAGAGAAGCGACCUCGCGAGAGCAAGCGGACCUCAUAAAGUGCGUCGUAGUCCGGAUUGGAGUCUGCAACUCGACUCCAUGAAGUCGGAAUCGCUAGUAAUCGUGGAUCAGAAUGCCACGGUGAAUACGUUCCCGGGCCUUGUACACACCGCCCGUCACACCAUGGGAGUGGGUUGCAAAAGAAGUAGGUAGCUUAACCUUCGGGAGGGCGCUUACCACUUUGUGAUUCAUGACUGGGGUGAAGUCGUAACAAGGUAACCGUAGGGGAACCUGCGGUUGGAUCACCUCCUUACCUUAAAGAAGC